GUGUUCUGCAAUAAAGUCUUGAAAGAUCUGACUUCAAGUACAUAUGAAAAGCUAAGUUAGCUAACUAUGCAAAUUGUAAAAUGUGCCUCACUAUUUUUAAUGGACUAAAUGAGAUAAUGAAAAUGAAUAUUUAGACAAUGGAACAAACAUUUUUAAUCUUGUCGCUUACUUAUCUGUUGGAUACUGUUUAGCCCUUGCAAAAGGGUACCCAGAAAAACGGGGUCUGCACUUUCCGAGAUCCCAGUUCUUCCUGGGCUCUUUGAAAGCAGCCUGUUCGGGCCCGCAGGCCUCACCCUUCCAAUUCAGGGCAGGUUGUUGUGCGCUACUGCGGUCAUAUCGGGGAAGGAAAGCAGCUCCUUUGUUUCCUUUCCCCCCCUUUAUACUUUCUGGCUGAAACAGACCCACCAUUCCCCCCAAAUCCUUGCUGAAGGAAUCCUCAAAGCCAGAUGUUUUCCAAACACCUGUUUCUUGUGUUUGUUUCUCUCUUCAGGCUGACUAGUCAGUACUGCUGGUACCCUUUCACCCAUUCGGAGAGCCCCCAUUUUAUACUUCCGCUCUCCUUGUCGGACUUGAGCAAAAUGAUGAGCCCCUAAAUGUGUUACGUGGUUAAAGCAAUCAGGUUUCUCUUUAAAAAAAAAAAAAAAAAAAAAAAAAGACAGUUCACGUCUUGUUUCCUCCAAGAUAAUGGAGAUUAAGGCGAAGGAAGAAGAAAAAAGAAAGGGAAACAAAAAGCAAGUGACCCCGACGUGAUUCGAACACGCAGCCUUCUGAUCUGGAGUCAGACGCGCUACCGUUGCGCCACGAGGUCCUGCUGGGCAGGCGCGCGCAGAGCCUUAGAACUCGCCCAUCACGGACCGCCGGUGGGACACGGCCCGGGGGACCUCAGGGGCCGGCGCCGGUGAAGACCCCCUUCUCACUCCCCUAUGGCGACCUCACAGAUUACAACCGCAGGUCAUACAGUUUAAGUGAAGAGCAACGCAUCAGAUAUUGUGAAGAGCACAUAACCCAAAAGAAUGGUCCGUGCUACCCAUCCGCUAAAAGUUGCUCGUGUUUUCAGCGUAUAAAAACAAAUUGGAUUCAUUCUGAGUAACCGCAUUGGGGGAAAAAAAUUGUGAAAUCU
rnacentral:tRNA from 1 species